rnacentral:tRNA from 1 species
GCAGCGGCUUAGCGCUAGCGACAACGCGACAACACACUUGAGCAUCACCCUCCGAAGGCGAAAGCCACAGGCUCCAAUCCUGUCGGGUGCGCCA